AGCUGAUAGACACCGGCGUAAAGAGUGGUUAAAAAACAAUAAAACUAAAGCUAAAUACCUCCAAAGCUGUUAUACGCAACCGAAGGCAAGAGAAACCCUUACGAAAGUAGCUUUAAAAUUAUGAAUCCACGAAAACUAGGUCACAAACUGGGAUUAGAUACCCCACUAUGCCUAGCCCUAAACAAAAAUGACACCCUUACAUCUGUCACUCGCCCGGGAACUACAAGCACUAGCUCAAAACCCAAAGGACUUGGCGGUGCUUUAGAACCACCUAGAGGAGCCUGUUCUAUAACCGAUAAUCCCCGUUUAACCUCACCCUCUCUCGCCACUACCGUCUAUAUACCGCCGUCGUCAGCUUACCCUAUAAGGGCCCCAUAGUAAGCAAGACUGGUAAAACCCAACACGUCAGGUCGAGGUGUAGCAUACGAAAGGGAAAGAAAUGGGCUACACUCCCUGUCACAGGGAAUACAAACAGUAAUUUGAAAUAAUUACCCAAAGGUGGAUUUAGCAGUAAGAGAGAAAACAGAGAAUUCCCCUGAAACCGGCCCUGAAGCGCGCACACACCGCCCGUCACUCUCCCCCAACAUAUACCAAACCUCAACAUAUAAUAAUAAACAACACAAAGGGGAGACAAGUCGUAACAUGGUAAGUGUACCGGAAGGUGUACUUGGAAAAAUC
rnacentral:rRNA from 1 species